rnacentral:rRNA from 1 species
UACGGGGGGGGGUAAGCGUUGUUCGGAAUUACUGGGCGUAAAGCGCGCGUAGGCGGCCAGAUAAGUCCGGUGUGAAAGUCACAGGCUCAACCUGUGAAUGCCGCUGGAAACUGUCUGGCUUGAGUUCGGGAGAGGGAUGCGGAAUUCCAGGUGUAGCGGUGAAAUGCGUAGAUAUCUGGAGGAACACCGGUGGCGAAGGCGGCAUCCUGGACCGAUACUGACGCUGAGGAGCGAAAGCCAGGGGAGCAAAGCGGG